rnacentral:ribozyme from 12 species
GCUGGAAAUGAAAACAAGGAGGCAUAUAAAAAAUAAAAACGAGGUAACGACAACACAUAUAAACAAAUCUCUUAUUGUUUAUUUAUUUAUCUAUCUUUAUAUAUACAUUUUCUUUUUCUUUUCUUUCCUUUCUUCUUUUUUGC